rnacentral:rRNA from 1 species
AGCGAACGCUGGCGGCAGGCUUAACACAUGCAAGUCGAACGGGCGUAGCAAUACGUCAGUGGCAGACGGGUGAGUAACGCGUGGGAACGUACCUUUUGGUUCGGAACAACCCAGGGAAACUUGGGCUAAUACCGGAUAAGCCCUUACGGGGAAAGAUUUAUCGCCGAAAGAUCGGCCCGCGUCUGAUUAGCUAGUUGGUGAGGUAACGGCUCACCAAGGCGACGAUCAGUAGCUGGUCUGAGAGGANGAUCAGCCACAUUGGGACUGAGACACGGCCCAAACUCCUACGGGAGGCAGCAGUGGGGAAUAUUGGACAAUGGGCGCAAGCCUGAUCCAGCCAUGCCGCGUGAGUGAUGAAGGCCCUAGGGUUGUAAAGCUCUUUUGUGCGGGAAGAUAAUGACGGUACCGCAAGAAUAAGCCCCGGCUAACUUCGU